rnacentral:rRNA from 1 species
UACGUAGGUGGCGAGCGUUGUCCGGAUUUAUUGGGUUUAAAGGGUGCGUAGGCGGUUCUAUAAGUCAGUGGUGAAAUCCGGCAGCUCAACUGUCGAUGUGCCAUUGAUACUGCAGAACUUGAGUACAGACGAGGUAGGCGGAAUUGACGGUGUAGCGGUGAAAUGCUUAGAUAUCGUCAAGAACACCGAUAGCGAAGGCAGCUUACUAGACUGUAACUGACGCUGAUGCACGAAAGUGUGGGGAUCAAACAGG